rnacentral:rRNA from 1 species
UUUGAUCAUGGCUCAAAACGAACGCUGGCGGCAGGCCUACCUUUUGCAAGUCAAACGCCCUGGCAACAGGGAGGGGCAAACGGGUGCGUAACGCGUGGGAACAUGCCCUUUGGUUCGAAAUAACUCAGGGAAACUUGAGCUAAUACCGGAUAACCCCGAGAGGGGAAAGAUUUAUCGCCAAAGGAUUGGCCCGCGUCUGAUUAGCUAGUUGGUGAGGUAAUGGCUCACCAAGGCAACAAUCAGUAGCUGGUCUGAAAGGAUGAUCAGCCACACUGGGACUGAAACACGGCCCAAACUCCUACGGGAGGCAGCAGGGGGGAAUAUUGGACAAUGGGCGCAAGCCUGAUCCACCCAUGCCGCGUGAGUGAUGAAGGCCUUAGGGUUGUAAAGCUCUUUUACCCGGGAAGAUAAUGACGGUACCGGGAGAAUAACCCCCGGCUAACUUCGUG